rnacentral:rRNA from 1 species
GAGCUGGGGGUGGCCGCAGAGACCAGCGAGAAGCGACUGUUUACUAAAAACACAGGUCCGUGCGAAGCCGUAAGGCGAUGUAUACGGACUGACGCCUGCCCGGUGCUGGAACGUUAAGGGGACCGGUUAGCUCCAUUUCGGUGGGGCGAAGCUGAGAACUUAAGCGCCAGUAAACGGCGGUGGUAACUAUAACCAUCCUAAGGUAGCGAAAUUCCUUGUCGGGUAAGUUCCGACCUGCACGAAUGGCGUAACGACUUCUCGACUGUCUCAACCAUAGGCCCGGUGAAAUUGCACUACGAGUAAAGAUGCUCGUUUCGCGCAGCAGGACGGAAAGACCCCGGGACCUUUACUACAGUUUGAUAUUGGUGUUCGGUUCGGCUUGUGUAGGAUAGCUGGGAGACUUUGAAGCUCGCACGCCAGUGUGGGUGGAGUCGUCGUUGAAAUACCAGUCUGGUCGUGCUGGAUGUCUAACCUGGGUCCGUGAUCCGGAUCAGGGACAGUGUCUGAUGGGUAGUUUAACUGGGGCGGUUGCCUCCUAAAGAGUAACGGAGGCGCCCAAAGGUUCCCUCAGCCUGGUUGGCAAUCAGGUGUUGAGUGUAAGUGCACAAGGGAGCUUGACUGUGAGACCGACGGGUCGAGCAGGGACGAAAGUCGGGACUAGUGAUCCGGCGGUGGCUUGUGGAAGCGCCGUCGCUCAACGGAUAAAAGGUACCCCGGGGAUAACAGGCUGAUCUUCCCCAAGAGUCCAUAUCGACGGGAUGGUUUGGCACCUCGAUGUCGGCUCGUCGCAUCCUGGGGCUGGAGUCGGUCCCAAGGGUUGGGCUGUUCGCCCAUUAAAGCGGUACGCGAGCUGGGUUUAGAACGUCGUGAGACAGUUCGGUCCCUAUCCGCUGUGCGCGUAGGAGUCUUGAGAAGGGCUGUCCCUAGUACGAGAGGACCGGGACGGACGAACCUCUGGUGUGCCAGUUGUCCUGCCAAGGGCAUGGCUGGUUGGCUACGUUCGGGAGGGAUAACCGCUGAAAGCAUCUAAGCGGGAAGCCUGCUUCGAGAUGAGGACUCCCACCCCCUUGAGGGGUUAAGGCUCCCAGUAGACGACUGGGUUGAUAGGCCGGAUCUGGAAGCACCGUGAGGUGUGGAGGUGACCGGUACUAAUAGGCCGAGGGCUUGUCCUCAGUUG